rnacentral:sRNA from 1 species
UUCGCCACUUCAAUCUGUUCAUUUUGCGACAGCAAUUUGCCGACGGCUUCGCUGAUUGAAGGAUGCCAGUUCACCGCGCGACCGACCGCCUCAUUAAGCAUUAAUGUUCCUGGUGCUGCCGGGCUGAGCGGUAAUUGCGCCGCCGAGCCAUCGAGAGAAGGCAGCAUCUGGUCUGCGGCGAGGGUUUCAGAGGAGAUCGGUAGUUCUUGUGCAUUGAGAUGCCCGCAACUGAGCGCCAAUGCCACUAAUGCCGCGACGCAGGCCAUUUUUCCCAUAAUCUAUCCCUUUGAAAAUCAAAAUAACUACCGUUGCCCCGGUGGUCAUCGCCUCCGGGGCUGUU